CCUGUCCCCAUAGACACAGGCAGCAGGGUGGCCUCCCACCUACUAACCUAGGCACCGGCCCAGCCCUCCUGAGGCCUGAAACAUCAAACCAGCCGUAGACUCUGAGUCAGCACACCAAGAAUCUCCACACAGGCUAUGGUAGACUGGAAGAGAUGCCUGCUUCUUAAACGUGUAGACACCAACACAAGGCCACAGAAUCACGAGUAACCUGGAAAACACGAAUCCACCAAGGGAGAACUAGCAAUUGACCCUAAAGACAUGGAGAUCUACGUGUGCCUGACAAAGAACUCCAAGAGUGGCCUCAAGAAGUUCAGUGAGCUAAAACAGAUCAUACACAAACAAUGCAUGAGCAAAAUUAGAAGUUCAACAAAGAGUUAGAAAC
rnacentral:lncRNA from 1 species